GUGGGUAGUUUGACUGGGGCGGUCUCCUCCUAAAGAGUAACGGAGGAGCACGAAGGUUGGCUAAUCCUGGUCGGACAUCAGGAGGUUAGUGCAAUGGCAUAAGCCAGCUUGACUGCGAGCGUGACGGCGCGAGCAGGUGCGAAAGCAGGUCAUAGUGAUCCGGUGGUUCUGAAUGGAAGGGCCAUCGCUCAACGGAUAAAAGGUACUCCGGGGAUAACAGGCUGAUACCGCCCAAGAGUUCAUAUCGACGGCGGUGUUUGGCACCUCGAUGUCGGCUCAUCACAUCCUGGGGCUGAAGUAGGUCCCAAGGGUAUGGCUGUUCGCCAUUUAAAGUGGUACGCGAGCUGGGUUUAGAACGUCGUGAGACAGUUCGGUCCCUAUCUGCCGUGGGCGCUGGAGAACUGAGGGGGGCUGCUCCUAGUACGAGAGGACCGGAGUGGACGCAUCACUGGUGUUCGGGUUGUCAUGCCAAUGGCACUGCCCGGUAGCUAAAUGCGGAAGAGAUAAGUGCUGAAAGCAUCUAAGCACGAAACUUGCCCCGAGAUGAGUUCUCCCUGAGACUUUAGGUCUCCUGAAGGAACGUUGAAGACGACGACGUUGAUAGGCCGGGUGUGUAAGCGCAGCGAUGCGUUGAGCUAACCGGUACUAAUGAACCGUGAGGCUUAACCUU
rnacentral:rRNA from 11 species